rnacentral:lncRNA from 1 species
AUCUUGAAUAUUAUUAUAGAUAGAGAUAAACUGUAAACAGCAAUAAUGUACAGCAAAGUAAGAACUAAAAAUAAGUCACUAUGACCAAAAUAGUCAAUUGACCCCCUAAGGAGUUAUUGCCCUUCAUAGUCAAUUUUUAACAAUUUUCUUAAAAUUUGAAGAUUUUCAAUAACAUUUUCCACAGAAAGAACUGUUAUAGAUAGAGAUAAUUGUAAGCAGCAAGAAUGUUUAGUAAAGUAAGAUCUACAAACACAUCACCAUCACCAAAACACAAUUUUGUCAUGAAUCCAUCUGUGUCCAUUGUUUAAUAUUCACAUAGACCAAGGUGAGCGACACAGGCUCUUUAGAGCCUCUAGUUU